rnacentral:misc_RNA from 1 species
GAUGAAGAACGCAGCGAAACGCGAUAAGUAAUGUGAAUUGCAGAAUCCAGUGAAUCAUCGAAUCUUUGAACGCACAUUGCGCCCGCCAGCAUUCUGGCGGGCAUGCCUGUUCGAGCGUCAUUUCAACCCUCGACCUCCCCUUGGGGAGGUCGGCGUUGGGGACCGGCAGCACACCGCCGGCCCUGAAAUGGAGUGGCGGCCCGUCCGCGGCGACCUCUGCGCAGUAAUACAGCUCGCACCGGGACCCCGACGCGGCCACGCCGUAAAGCACCCAACUUCUGAACGUUGACCUCGAAUCAGGUAGGACUACCCGCUGAACUUAAGCAUAUCAAUAAGCGGAGGA